rnacentral:rRNA from 1 species
AGUGAACGCUGGCGGUAGGCCUAACACAUGCAAGUCGAGCGGCAGCACAGUAAGAGCUUGCUCUUACGGGUGGCGAGUGGCGGACGGGUGAGGAAUACAUCGGAAUCUACUUUUUCGUGGGGGAUAACGUAGGGAAACUUACGCUAAUACCGCAUACGACCUACGGGUGAAAGCAGGGGAUCUUCGGACCUUGCGCGAUUGAAUGAGCCGAUGUCGGAUUAGCUAGUUGGCGGGGUAAAGGCCCACCAAGGCGACGAUCCGUAGCUGGUCUGAGAGGAUGAUCAGCCACACUGGAAAUGAGACACGGUCCAGACUCCUACGGGAGGCAGCAGUGGGGAAUAUUGGACAAUGGGCGCAAGCCUGAUCCAGCCAUACCGCGUGGGUGAAGAAGGCCUUCGGGUUGUAAAGCCCUUUUGUUGGGAAAGAAAAGCAGCAGGUUAAUACCCCGCUGUUCUGACGGUACCCAAAGAAUAAGCACCGGCGAACUUCGG